UACACGACCGUACCGCAAACCGACACUGGUGCGCGAGAUGAGUAUUCUAAGGCGCUUGAGAGAACUCAGGAGAAGGAACUCGGCAAAUUGACACCGUAACUUCGGAAGAAGGUGUGCCUUUAGUAGGUGAAGGGAUUUACUCCUGGAGCCCAAUGAGGUUGCAAAAAAUCGGUGGCUGCGACUGUUUAUUAAAAACACAGCACUCUGCAAACACGAAAGUGGACGUAUAGGGUGUGACGCCUGCCCGGUGCUGGAAGAUUAAAUGAUGGGGUGCAAGCUCUUGAUUGAAGUCCCAGUAAACGGCGGCCGUAACUAUAACGGUCCUAAGGUAGCGAAAUUCUUUGUCGGGUAAGUUCCGACCUGCACGAAUGGCGUAACGAUGGCCACACUGUCUCCUCCUGAGACUCAGCGAAGUUGAAAUGUUUGUGAUGAUGCAAUCUCCCCGCGGAAAGACGGAAAGACCCCAUGAACCUUUACUGUAGCUUUGUAUUGGACUUUGAACAGAUCUGUGUAGGAUAGGUGGGAGGCUUUGAAGCAGGGUCGCUAGAUCUUGUGGAGCCAACGUUGAAAUACCACCCUGGUGUGUUUGAGGUUCUAACCUAGGCCCGUAAUCCGGGUUGGGGACAGUGCAUGGUAGGCAGUUUGACUGGGGCGGUCUCCUCCCAAAGUGUAACGGAGGAGUUCGAAGGUACGCUAGUUACGGUCGGACAUCGUGACCAUAGUGCAAUUGCAUAAGCGUGCUUAACUGCGAGACUGACAAGUCGAGCAGAUGCGAAAGCAGGACAUAGUGAUCCGGUGGUUCUGUAUGGAAGGGCCAUCGCUCAACGGAUAAAAGGUACUCUGGGGAUAACAGGCUGAUACCGCCCAAGAGUUCAUAUCGACGGCGGUGUUUGGCACCUCGAUGUCGGCUCAUCUCAUCCUGGGGCUGUAGCCGGUCCCAAGGGUAUGGCUGUUCGCCAUUUAAAGAGGUACGUGAGCUGGGUUUAAAACGUCGUGAGACAGUUUGGUCCCUAUCUUCCGUGGGCGCUGCAGAUUUGAGGAAGCCUGCUCCUAGUACGAGAGGACCGGAGUGGACGCACCACUGGUGUAUCGGUUGUCACGCCAGUGGCAUUGCCGAGUAGCUAUGUGCGGAAGAGAUAACCGCUGAAAGCAUCUAAGCGGGAAACUCGUUUCAAGAUGAGAUCUGCCGGGGCCUUGAGCCCCCUGAAGAGUCGUUCAAGACCAGGACGUUGAUAGGUCGGGUGUGGAAGCGCAGUAAUGCGUUAAGCUAACCGAUACUAAUUGCUCGUGCGGCUUGACCCU
rnacentral:rRNA from 1 species